AGUUAGAUACAUUCUCGUCGGUGCGGCUCGCCGGUGCCUGUGUUCUCAGCAGGAUCCUGUUGGCGCUUCAUCUGGAGUGAUCCUGGAGGUGGUGACUGCAGGGAAGAAGUGAUCAGUUUUCCAUGUAUCACAACAGAUAGUUCCUUCAAUCCUGAGAGAGUUCCAGCAAUUCCACUUAACUCCCAAAGCACACCUGUGAAUGCACAUGGGGUUGCACCUCUUGAGAUUCCAGCCCAGAGUUUUCUGCAGCCAGAGAUCACCACAACAGAGGAUGCAGCCUGGAAGGAGACCUCUGCUUUCCAAGCUGUGAGUAUUCGUAUUAAAAUCUUGUUUCACUGACCUGACCUCUGCCUCUUGGAGCAGCAAAAUCCCCUUCUGAUCUGGCACCAGGGAAAAAUCAAGACAAAUAUAGAGGACUCUAAGUGCUGUCUUCCAGCAUUGUCUCCUUUCCCAGCUUGUCUCCCUGCUAGAUCAAGAGAAACCACCAAUCUCCCCGAGCCUUCCUACUGUCAGCUCCAUCCCAGCUACUGCCUCGGCAGCCCCCCUUCUUCCCUCCAGCAUUCCCAGGCCCUGUGUGAAAGGCAGGGGCUCUCAGGGAGCCAGGAGGGUCCUGUCCCCCCUUUCUCCGUCUCCGCACAGGCUGCCAGCAAGAAGGAACCGUGGCUGUGUGUGGUUUUUCUCGCCCAGGGUGACCUGGAACACAUCUGCGAAGCCCUCCAGAGUAGCAGGAAUGCGCUCCGUUAGGACAUGAUUCAUCCUGCAUACCGCAUGGGUGGCUGCUCGGGGAGAAUUUGGACAUUUGCAUACGCUGCUGAGACCUUCCGCUUCUCGCUUGCUCUCAAACCCCCGCACUUCAUCCAGAGCGAGGGGGCUGCACAGCCAGAAAUCCCUUCCCGGGGGAAUGGCUGGAGCCAGCCCAGCAGCGGUGGUCCUGGGGCUCCUUCCCCGGUCUGCAUCGUGAGGCACAAAGCAGAGAAGCUGCCCCCAGCCAGGCUGAAGGAUGGCUUUUAGGUUUUACAAGACCAUCCCUUAAUGUCUCCCCUGCAGGGAUCGGAUGAGUAAUUUGGGAACUUGCCCCAGUACACCUUUAGUUCUUAUGUCCUUUAACUUCAAGAGAACAUCCUCUGCUAAACCCGGGCACAGACAACUUUACCCGAAUGCAAGUAAGAUUUUUUCUACAAGCAAAGCUGGGACAGAGCAUGGAAUUCGGCAUCUGCAGGGCAGGAAAACGCCAUCCCAGACCCAGCGCUCAGGCAGAAGCUGGGCACGGCACCGGGAAGCGCUGCGAGCGGGACUGAGCCAAGCACGCUGCUUCUGGGAAGGAAACGGGAAUUGGGUAACGAGGGAACUGGCACUGCCAAUCCGGGCAACGAGGGAACUGGCACUGCCAAUCCAGGAUUUGCUUUGGCAGCCGCACGGUGGAUCAGCCUCAAGCAGAGAGGGGAGAUGCUCCCCAGGCUGGGAGGUGACUUUGUCCUCCCCGUGCUUUGCCAUCGAGCAGGACGCGGCUGCGAUGGAUGGGGAAGGUGGAGGAAUGGUGAAAAACACCAAGGUAAUGUUUCAGCAAGUAAG